AACGUAGGAGACAAACGUUAUCCGGAGUUACUGGGCGUAAAGGGCGUGUAGGUGGUUUCGUAAGUCUGGCGUGAAAUAUCUCGGCUUAACCGAGGCAGGUCGUCGGAUACUGCGAGGCUAGAGGACGGUAGAGGCGUGUGGAAUUCCGGGUGUAGUGGUGAAAUGCGUAGAGAUCCGGAGGAACACCAGUGGCGAAGGCGACACGCUGGGCCGUACCUGACACUGAUGCGCGACAGCAUGGGGAGCAAACAGG
rnacentral:rRNA from 1 species